rnacentral:rRNA from 1 species
CGGCGCGCCUAACACAUGCAAGUCGAACGAGCGAGAGAGAGCUUGCUUUCUCGAGCGAGUGGCGAACGGGUGAGUAACGCGUGAGGAACCUGCCUUUAAGAGGGGGAUAACAGUCGGAAACGGCUGCUAAUACCGCAUAAAGCAUCAAAUUCGCAUGUUUUUGAUGCCAAAGGAGCAAUCCGCUUUUAGAUGAGCUCGCGUCUGAUUAGCUGGUUGGCGGGGUAACGGCCCACCAAGGCGACGAUCAGUAGCCGGACUGAGAGGUUGAACGGCCACAUUGGGACUGAGACACGGCCCAGACUCCUACGGGAGGCAGCAGUGGGGAAUAUUGCACAAUGGGGGAAACCCUGAUGCAGCGACGCCGCGUGGAGGAAGAAGGUCUUCGGAUUGUAAACUCCUGUUGUUGAGGAAGAUAAUGACGGUACUCAACAAGGAAGUGACGGCUAACUACGUGCCAGCAGCCGCGGUAAAACGUAGGUCACAAGCGUUGUCCGGAAUUACUGGGUGUAAAGGGAGCGCAGGCGGGAGAACAAGUUGGAAGUGAAAUCCAUGGGCUCAACCCAUGAACUGCUUUCAAAACUGUUUUUCUUGAGUAGUGCAGAGGUAGGCGGAAUUCCCGGUGUAGCGGUGGAAUGCGUAGAUAUCGGGAGGAACACCAGUGGCGAAGGCGGCCUACUGGGCACCAACUGACGCUGAGGCUCGAAAGUGUGGGUAGCAAACAGGAUUAGAUACCCUGGUAGUCCACACCGUAAACGAUGAUUACUAGGUGUUGGAGGAUUGACCCCUUCAGUGCCGCAGUUAACACAAUAAGUAAUCCACCUGGGGAGUACGACCGCAAGGUUGAAACUCAAAGGAAUUGACGGGGGCCCGCACAAGCAGUGGAGUAUGUGGUUUAAUUCGACGCAACGCGAAGAACCUUACCAAGUCUUGACAUCCCUUGACGAACAUAGAAAUAUGUUUUCUCUUCGGAGCAAGGAGAUAGGUGGUGCAUGGUUGUCGUCAGCUCGUGUCGUGAGAUGUUGGGUUAAGUCCCGCAACGAGCGCAACCCUUAUGGUCAGUUACUACGCAAGAGGACUCUGGCCAGACUGCCGUUGACAAAACGGAGGAAGGUGGGGAUGACGUCAAAUCAUCAUGCCCUUUAUGACUUGGGCUACACACGUACUACAAUGGCGUUAAACAAAGAGAAGCAAGACCGCGAGGUGGAGCAAAACUCAGAAACAACGUCCCAGUUCGGACUGCAGGCUGCAACUCGCCUGCACGAAGUCGGAAUUGCUAGUAAUCGUGGAUCAGCAUGCCACGGUGAAUACGUUCCCGGGCCUUGUACACACCGCCCGUCACACCAUGAGAGCCGGGGGGACCCGAAGUCGGUAGUCUAACCGCAAGGAGGACGCCGCCGAAGGUAAAACUGGUGAUUGGGGUG